rnacentral:rRNA from 1 species
AGAGUUUGAUCCUGGCUCAGGAUGAACGUUGGCGGUGUGCCUAAUACAUGCAAGUCGAACGGUGACGAUUUUGUAGCAGUACGAAUGAAAUCAUAGUGGCGAACGGGUGAGUAACGCGUUGGUGAUCUGCCUCGAAGUGUGGAAUAACUUCCCGAAAGGGUAUCUAAUACCGCAUAGUCUCUCAAGGUUUAGAAAAUUGAGAGUAAAGGAUUUAUUCGCUUCGAGAGGAGCCUGCGUCCCAUCAGCUAGUUGGUAGGGUAAUAGCCUACCAAGGCAAUGACGGGUAGGGGACCUGAGAGGGUGGCCCCCCACAAUGGAACUGAAACACGGUCCAUACACCUACGGGUGGCAGCAGUAGGGAAUAUUAGAAAUGGGCGAAAGCCUGAUAUAGCAACACCGCGUGUGCGAUGAAGGCCUUCGGGUUGUAAAGCACUUUUUGGAGGGAAUAGGAAGGAAGGUACCUCCAGAAUAAGUCUCGGCUAACUAUGUGCCAGCAGCCGCGGUAACAUGUAGGAGGCAAACGUUAUCUGGAUUCACUGGGCGUAAAGCGCGUGUAGGUGGUUCCGUAAGUAGGGCGUGAAAGCUCCCGGCUCAACUGGGAGAGGCCGUAGUAAACUGCAGAGCUAGAGGAUGGUAGAGGGAGGUGGAAUUCCAGGUGUAGUGGUGAAAUGCGCAGAUAUCUGGAGGAACACCAGUGGCGAAGGCGGCCUCCUGGACCAUUCUUGACACUCAGACGCGAAAGAUAGGGUAGCAAAUCGAAUUAGAGACUCCGGUAGUCUUAUCCCUAAACGAUGCGGUUUAGGCGUCGUCGGUUUAAUCACUGUCGGGGUACAAGAUAACGCGAUAAGUCUGCCUCCCGAGGACUACGGCCGCAAGGAUAAAACUCAAAGGAACAGACGGGUCGCCGCACAAGCAGCGGAGAGUGUGGUCUAAUUACAUGCUCCGCGAAGAACAUCCCUUGGGUCUGUCAUAACAGAGGGAGAGAAGUGAAAACGGAUCGGCCCCUCGUGGAGCUGUUACAGGUUCUGCAUGCCUCUCGUCAGCUCGUGUCGUGAGAUGUUCGGUUAAGUCCCCUAACGAGCGCAACCCGCCCUGUGUGUUACAAGUGUCACACAGUCCCCCCGGUAUUAAGUCGGAGGAAGGUGGGGAGGACGUCAAGUCAGCAUGACCUUUAUAUCCAGGGCUACACACACGCUACAAUGGUCAGAACAAUAGGUUGCCGAGCCGCAAGGCGGAGCCAAUCCUCCAAAUAUGGCCUCAGUUCAGAUUGCAGGCUGCAACUCGCCUUCACGAAGUCGGAGUUGCUAGUAACCGCACGUCAGCAUACUGCGGUGAAUACGUUCCCGGGGAUUGUACACAC